AGUGAACGCUGGCGGUAGGCCUAACACAUGCAAGUCGAACGGCAGCACAGUAAGAGCUUGCUCUUACGGGUGGCGAGUGGCGGACGGGUGAGGAAUACAUCGGAAUCUACUUUUUCGUGGGGGAUAACGUAGGGAAACUUACGCUAAUACCGCAUACGACCUACGGGUGAAAGCAGGGGAUCUUCGGACCUUGCGCGAUUGAAUGAGCCGAUGUCGGAUUAGCUAGUUGGCGGGGUAAAGGCCCACCAAGGCGACGAUCCGUAGCUGGUCUGAGAGGAUGAUCGGCCACACUGGAGCUGAGACACGGUCAAGACUCCUACGAGAGGCAGCAGUGGGGAAUAUUGGGCAGUGGGCGCAAGCCUGAUCCAGCCAUACCGCGUGGGUGAAGAAGGCGUUCGGGUUGUAAAGCCCUUUUGUUGGGAAAGAAAAGCAGCAGGUUAAUACCCCGCUGUUCUGACGGUACCCAAAGAAUAAGCACCGGCUAACUUCGUG
rnacentral:rRNA from 1 species